rnacentral:lncRNA from 1 species
CACAAGAAAAAUAGGUCUUGGGAGUUGUUGAGCGUUCAGGACUACCAAACUUGGCAUUCCUCAGUGGUUACUCAAUUUGGAAAUAUCUCAGUUGAGUUAAACUUCAACCAGCCCCAGUGACUAGUUUAUACACCGUAAAACUUUGUGGAGUAUUUUGUAUCAGCAAAUACCACCAGCCCAGAACCCUGGAGCCUGCAUUGCCUUUGUUAUUCAGACAUAACAGGGUGUUUUUAUCUCUUAAGUAUUUCAGACAUGUUCCUCUGAUUUGAAGGUUUUGCAUAUUACCCAAGGACUUUUGUAUCUAAACUAUGUUAAAGACACAUAGAAAAGGAAUGACGUCAUGGCUUUUGUCAGCUGGGCUUUGUGUUUAGCUAACGCCGGUGAGUCAUAGUCUUGUGACCAGCCAGGCACCUUUCCAAGCAGAGGCUGUUAAGUUCGUUGACAACAGAACCUGUAGAUGUUUUGAAGAGGAGAUUUCAACAAGGGACCUGCCUGCUUGGUCAUACCAGAGGCAGCUCCCUCAGUCUGUGAGAAUUGCUGACUUCAGAUACCCCUCAGAAGAAAUGGCUGUAUUGCAUAAACAUGUGUCCUGAGGACUGAACUCCCCGCCCCCAUUUAGUGAAGUAUGGCACUAAUGCCACCUGGAGGACGAACACAGACCAAAAAGGCUGCUGGAGGAAGCUCAGAAGGGUGUGCUGGAGAUACACUUACCAUUGGUAGCCAGAGAGGGUAGAAGCACACAGAGCUGUGGAAUUUUCAGUUAUGUCAUGUUGACAAACUGACUCAGCAGGAGGUGCCUACAUGGGAAAGAGAGUCCAUCUUCUCUGAAGCCCCCUCAAGGACAUGAUGGGAAAAUCAGGAAACUUCUGCCUCCCUGACUUGCUGGGAUUUGCUGUAUUCCCCUGGGCACUGAUCAGGCUGCAUUCCUCAAGCUCCGAGACAGUGGUAUGGCUCCACAGUUGGAAUCUGAAAGUCUCAUUGAUCAUCAGUGAAUGCAGUAGCUGGGAUCACAGGAGAAUGCUGCCCCUGUUUACCUCUCACAGAGCUGUUUAUAAAUUGGACACCUGUAAUUAGAUCUGCCUUACACAGGGAGCAUUAGGAGGAAAAACAGUCUCUUGAUUAGCUCUGAUGAAGACUCAAAAUUCAUACCCUGAGGUGCUCACCCCUACUUAUCUGUAGCUGGAAAUGAAGUCUUUGGGAAGACAGCAAAAUAAAGUUCAAAUGCAGUUGUAAAAAUGAAGCCUU